rnacentral:rRNA from 1 species
GACGAACGCUGGCGGCGUGCUUAACACAUGCAAGUCGAGCGAGUGGAUUCCCUUCGGGGAUGAAGCUAGCGGCGGACGGGUGAGUAACACGUGGGCAACCUGCCUUAUAGAGGGGGAUAGCCUUCCGAAAGGAAGAUUAAUACCGCAUAACAUCAGAUUAUCGCAUGGUAGACUGAUCAAAGGAGCAAUCCGCUAUAAGAUGGGCCCGCGUCGCAUUAGCUAGUUGGUGAGGUAACGGCUCACCAAGGCGACGAUGCGUAGCCGACCUGAGAGGGUGGUCGGCCACAUUGGGACUGAGACACGGCCCAGACUCCUACGGGAGGCAGCAGUGGGGAAUAUUGCACAAUGGGGGAAACCCUGAUGCAGCAACGCCGCGUGAGUGAUGAAGGCCUUCGGGUUGUAAAGCUCUUUGAUCAGGGACGAUAAUGACGGUACCUGAAGAACAAGCCACGGCUAACUACGUGCCAGCAGCCGCCGUAAGAC